CGCUGGCGGCGUGCCUAACACAUGCAAGUCGAACGAAGCUCGAUCUUCUGCGAUUUCGGUCAAAGAAGAAAGAUGACUUAGUGGCGGACGGGUGAGUAAUGCGUGAGCAACCUGCCUCGGAGAGGGGGACAACAGUUGGAAACGACUGCUAAUACCGCAUGAUGUACAGAGAGGGCAUCCUUUUUGUACCAAAGAUUUAUCGCUCUGAGAUGGGCUCGCGUCUGAUUAGUUAGUUGGUGGGGUAACGGCUCACCAAGACUGCGAUCAGUAGCCGGACUGAGAGGUUGAACGGCCACAUUGGGACUGAGAUACGGCCCAGACUCCUACGGGAGGCAGCAGUGGGGAAUAUUGGGCAAUGGGCGCAAGCCUGACCCAGCAACGCCGCGUGAAGGAAGAAGGCUUUCGGGUUGUAAACUUCUUUUAUGAGGGACGAAGGACGUGACGGUACCUCAUGAAUAAGCCACGGCUAACUACGUGCCAGCAGCCGCGGUAAUACGUAGGUGGCGAGCGUUAUCCGGAUUUACUGGGUGUUAAGGGCGCG
rnacentral:rRNA from 1 species